UUUCAACUUAUGGCCCAAGAAAAUAGAAGUCAGAAUCAAAAUCCAGCAUGCAGAACUUGUUGUAAAACAUGGCAGUACAGGACUUGCUACAUUGGUCUUUGCUAGCUUCAAUGCCUGGAAUGCAAACUUCGGGUCCCUUGUUAGUAGAAAGAUGCACAGAUGCGGCUCUGUUGACUCAGUUGUUUAAAUACAUAUUGUCAAACAAAAUAUUUGCAGCACUGAUGCCAAGUUCCUCCUGACAUUCACAAUAAUAUUGAAUUUGACUCAACCAAACAAGUG
ensembl:lncRNA novel transcript